AUUAUUGUGUAAUAUUUGCGAAAUGCGAGGGCCCUUAGUUGCUUUCGGUUUCAAUCGGCCAGUAAGAGAGAGAUUAAGGGGCCGAUGAUAUCUGCAGACAGUAAAACUCGUCUUCUUCUACGUCUCCUUUAUCUUGAAACGACAAAUCUUGAUUCUCGAAGCACGACGACAGCAGGCAUUCGUGAAUUCCGAGGUCGCUUUCCUCUUUCUUAGGCUUCAGUACCUUUUGGAAGAAAAUUGGGAAUUGUAUUUGUGGCAGAAACGGGGAUAUGGGAUCUGAAGGGCCAAAGAAUGUAGUCAUUCAUGUUACUGGAUUUAAGAAGUUUCAAGGAGUAGCCGAAAAUCCCACAGAGACAAUAGUUGAUAAUUUGAAGGAUUUUGUUGACAAGAGAGGGUUGCCUGCUGGGGUUACUCUAGGAAGCUGCACCAUUCUUGAGACUGCUGGAGAUGGUGCUCUUCCCACGCUUUACAAGGUCUUGGAAUCGGGCACUGCAGCUACAAAUGAUGACAAAAAUGAACAAAUCGUCUGGGUCAGUUCCAAUUGUGCAACAUUUUGUGGUUUUAGAAAUGUAGCAUAUAAUUUUAAUCCUUAAAUUUGGUUGAUUUUCUCAGUGCUUGCCUGUUCUUCAUUUUACUUCUGUUGCAGUUAAUCCUCAGCUGUUUUGGAUAUAUGUCUAUGCUUCCUGUUUGCCCCAUUAGUUUCCUAUGUUGUGUGGCAUUUAGCGUUUUCUUCAGCUUGAUACACACUUAGCACAGGCCUUCCAUGGUACACACUUAUGUUCUUGAUUAUACUUGGGAGUAUCCUGACCUCAGGGGUGAUUUAUUAAUGGCAUUUCUGUGACUAGCUUGAGAGGCUAUGUAAGAUUUAAGAGUGAUGCAUCAUGCAUAUCAUGGAAAAGAAUAUGCUGCCCCCUUUUAUUUUGGAUCUAGUUUUUCAUGAUUUAAAGUACUUGGCCUUCAUUGCUUCUUCAGCUUCACUUAGGGGUGAAUAGCGGGGCUGUAAGAUUUGCCAUUGAAAGACUAGCAGCGAAUGAAGCCACCUUCUGUUGUCCAGAUGAGCUAGGAUGGCAACCUAAGCAACAUCCCAUAGUCCCUGGGGAUGGAGGAAUUUCCUGCACAAGGGAGGUACUUUAUGAUCUAUUUUUAUUUUAAAUUAUAUGAUACAUGCAUGCGACUAUGAUAACUUUUCGUUAUAUUUGUCUGUGAAGACUUGUUGCUCUAUUGAGGCGAUACUGAAGUUUUUGAAGAAGAAGGGCUAUGAGGUGACAAUAUCAAAUGAUGCAGGUCGCUUUGUAUGCAACUAUGUCUAUUAUCACUCUCUUCGAUUUGCAGAACAGAAGGGUCACAAAACGCUUUUUGUGCAUGUUCCUCCCUUUUCAAGAAUUGAGGAAGAAACUCAAAUGCAAUUUGUAGCGUCCCUUUUAGAGGCUAUUGCCGCAACAUGUCAAUAAAAUUGAUCUGAGUGUUUGUUUUUCUGUGUUCAUGUUUGUUUAUCAUGUGCUGAUGCUUGUACAUCAACUGCAUCUAUAACAU
rnacentral:misc_RNA from 1 species